GACGAACGCUGGCGGCGUGCUUAACACAUGCAAGUCGAACGGAAAGGCCCUGCUUUUGUGGGGUGCUCGAGUGGCGAACGGGUGAGUAACACGUGAGUAACCUGCCCUUGACUUUGGGAUAACUUCAGGAAACUGGUGCUAAUACCGGAUAGGAGCUCCUGCUGCAUGGUGGGGGUUGGAAAGUUUCGGCUGUUGGGGAUGGACUCGCGGCUUAUCAGCUUGUUUGUGGGGUAGUGGCUUACCAAGGCUUUGACGGGUAGCCGGCCUGAGAGGGUGACCGGGCACAUUGGGACUGAGAGACGGCCCAGAAUCCUACGGGAGGCAGCAGUGGGGAAUAUUGCACAAUGGGCGGAAGCCUGAUGCAGCAACGCCGCGUGCGGGAUGACGGCCUUCGGGUUGUAAACCGCUUUCGCCUGUGACGAAGCGUGAGUGACGGUAAUGGGUAAAGAAGCACCGGCUAACUACGUG
rnacentral:rRNA from 1 species